rnacentral:tRNA from 1 species
GCAUUGGUGGUUCAGUGGUAGAAUUUUCACCUUCCAUAUGGGAGACCUGGGCUCGAAUCCCAGACAACGAA